rnacentral:tRNA from 1 species
GCCGGGAUAGCUCAAGUUAGCAGAGCGACUGCCUUGUAAGCAGUGGGUUGUGGGUGCAAGUCCUACUCCCGGCACCA